UACGUAGGGUGCGAGCGUUAAUCGGAAUUACUGGGCGUAAAGCGUGCGCAGGCGGUUAGCCAAGUCAGGUGUGAAAUCCCCGGGCUUAACCUGGGAAUUGCGCUUGAAACUAGCGGGCUUGAGUGUGGCAGAGGGGGGUGGAAUUCCACGUGUAGCAGUGAAAUGCGUAGAGAUGUGGAGGAACACCGAUGGCGAAGGCAGCCCCCUGGGUCAACACUGACGCUCAGGCACGAAAGCGUGGGGAGCAAACAGG
rnacentral:rRNA from 1 species